rnacentral:rRNA from 1 species
GUGAGGAAUAUUGGUCAAUGGGCGGGAGCCUGAACCAGCCAAGUCGCGUGAGGGAAGACGGUCCUAUGGAUUGUAAACCUCUUUUGUCGGGGAGCAAAGAGGCCACGUGUGGUCAAAAGCGAGAGUACCCGAAGAAAAAGCAUCGGCUAACUCCGUGCCAGCAGCCGCGGUAAUACGGAGGAUGCGAGCGUUAUCCGGAUUUAUUGGGUUUAAAGGGUGCGUAGGCGGGACGUUAAGUCAGCGGUAAAAAUGCGGAGCUCAACUCCGUCGAGCCGUUGAAACUGCCGUUCUUGAGUGAGCGAGAAGUAUGCGGAAUGCGUGGUGUAGCGGUGAAAUGCAUAGAUAUCACGCAGAACUCCGAUUGCGAAGGCAGCAUACCGGCGCUCAACUGACGCUGAAGCACGAAGGCGUGGGUAUCGAACAGGAUUAGAAACCCCUGUAGUCC